rnacentral:rRNA from 1 species
GUCGAGCGCAUCCUUCGGGAUGAGCGGCGGACGGGUUAGUAACGCGUGGGAACGUGCCCUUCUCUAAGGAAUAGCCACUGGAAACGGUGAGUAAUACCUUAUACGCCCUUCGGGGGAAAGAUUUAUCGGAGAAGGAUCGGCCCGCGUUAGAUUAGAUAGUUGGUGGGGUAACGGCCUACCAAGUCUACGAUCUAUAGCUGGUUUUAGAGGAUGAUCAGCAACACUGGGACUGAGACACGGCCCAGACUCCUACGGGAGGCAGCAGUGGGGAAUCUUAGACAAUGGGCGCAAGCCUGAUCUAGCCAUGCCGCGUGAGUGAUGAAGGCCUUAGGGUCGUAAAGCUCUUUCGCCAGAGAUGAUAAUGACAGUAUCUGGUAAAGAAACCCCGGCUAACUCCGUGCCAGCAGCCGCGGUAAUACGGAGGGGGUUAGCGUUGUUCGGAAUUACUGGGCGUAAAGCGCACGUAGGCGGAUCAGAAAGUAUAGGGUGAAAUCCCAGGGCUCAACCCUGGAACUGCCUUGUAAACUCCUGAUCUUGAGUUCGAGAGAGGUGAGUGGAAUUCCGAGUGUAGAGGUGAAAUUCGUAGAUAUUCGGAGGAACACCAGUGGCGAAGGCGGCU